AGAGUUUGAUCAUGGCUCASGAUGAACGCUAGCGGCAGGCUUAACGCAUGCAAGUCGAGGGGCAUCSCGGGUAGUGAUACUUGGCGGCGACCGGCGGAAGGGUGCGUAACGCGUGAGCAACAUGCCCGUAUCAGGGGGAUAAACCAGGGAAACUUGGUCUAAUACCCCAUAAUAAAUUCAGGAGACAUCUUUUGGGUUUUAAAAUUACGAUGGAUACGGAUUGGCUCGCGUGACAUUAGUUAGUUGGUAAGGUAACGGCUUACCAAGGCGAUGAUGUCUAGGGGUUCUGAGAGGAAGAUCCCCCACACUGGAACUGAGACACGGUCCAGACUCCUACGGGAGGCAGCAGUGAGGAAUAUUGGACAAUGGAUGGAAAUCUGAUCCAGCCAUGCCGCGUGCAGGAAGACAGCCCUAUGGGUUUUAAACUGCUUUUGUAUGGGAGCAAUAAGGUCUAUGCGUAGAUCGAUGAGAGUACCAUACGAAUAAGGAUCGGCUAACUCCGUGCCAGCAGCCGCGGUAAUACGGAGGAUCCGAGCGUUAUCCGGAUU
rnacentral:rRNA from 1 species